rnacentral:rRNA from 1 species
CCUACGAUGAGCAGCAGUGGGGCAUAUUGCACAAUGGGGGGAACCCUGAUGCAGCGACGCCGCGUGAGUGAAGAAGUAUUUCGGUAUGUAAAGCUCUAUCAGCAGGGAAGAAAAUGACGGUAACUGACUAAGAAGCCCCGGCUAACUACGUGCCAGCAGCCGCGGUACUACGUAGGGGCCAAGCGUUAUCCGGAUUUACUGGGUGGAAAGGGAGCGCAGACGGCUGUGCAAGGCUGGAGUGAAGGGCGGGGGCCCAACCCCCGGACUGCUCUGGAAACUGUAAAGCUUGAGUGCAGGAGAGGUAAGCGGAAUGCCUAGUGUAGCGGUGAAAUGCGGAGAUAUUAGGAGGAACACCAGUGGCGAAGGCGGCUUACUGGACUUCAACUGACGUUGAGGCUCGAAAGCGUGGGGAGCAAACAGGAUUAGAUACCCCUGUAGUC